rnacentral:rRNA from 1 species
CCUACGGGCGGCAGCAGUAGGGAAUAUUGCUCAAUGGGGGAAACCCUGAAGCAGCAACGCCGCGUGGAGGAUGAAGGUUUUCGGAUUGUAAACUCCUUUUAGUAGAGAAGAUGAUGACGGUAUCUAACGAAUAAGCACCGGCUAACUCCGUGCCAGCAGCCGCGGUAAUACGGAGGGUGCAAGCGUUACUCGGAAUCACUGGGCGUAAAGAGAGCGUAGGCGGGAUAGCAAGUCAGAUGUGAAAUCCUAUGGCUUAACCAUAGAAUUGCUUUUGAUACUGUUAUUCUAGAGUAUGGGAGAGGUAGGUGGAAUUCUUGGUGUAGCGGUAAAAUGCGUAGAGAUCAAGAGGAAUACUCAUUGCGAAGGCGACCUGCUAGAACAUAACUGACGCUGAUGCGCGAAAGCGUGGGGAGCAAACAGGAUUAGAUACCCCAGUAGUC